rnacentral:misc_RNA from 1 species
AAUUCUCAACCUCACCAGUUUUCUGAACUGUGUCGAGGCUUGGAUGUGGGGGUUUGUGCAGGCCGCCUCAGCGCGGUCUGCUCCCCUGAAAUGCAUUAGCGAGUUCAUACUGAGCUCCGUCUAUUGGCGUGAUAAUUAUCUACGCCGUGGACAGGGUUUAGACUCGCUUCUAACCGUCCGCAAGGACAAUACCUUGACA